rnacentral:rRNA from 1 species
GACGAACGCUGGCGGCGUGCUUAACACAUGCAAGUCGAGCGGUAAGGCCCUUCGGGGUACGACGAGCGGCGAACGGGUGAGUAACACGUGGGUGACCUGCCCUCCACUCUGGGAUAAGCCCGGGAAACUGGGUCUAAUACCGGAUAUGACCUCUGGAUGCAUGUCUGGUGGUGGAAAGCCUGGGUUGUAUGACUCUGGCGGUGGGGGAUGGGCCCGCGGUCUAUCAGCUUGUUGGGGGGUGAUGGCCUACCAAGGCGACGACGGAUAGCCGGCCUGAGAGGGUGAUCGGCCACACUGGGACUGAGACACGGCCCAGACUCCUACGGGAGCAGCAGUGGGGAAUCUUGCGCAAUGGGCGGAAGCCUGACGCAGCAACGCCGCGUGGGGGAUGACGG